rnacentral:rRNA from 1 species
CCUACGGGUGGCAGCAGUGGGGGAUAUUGCACAAUGGGGGCAACCCUGAUGCAGCGACGCAGCGUGUGGGAAGACGGUCCUCUGGAUUGUAAACCACUGUCCCCAGGGACGAAGAUGACGGUACCUGGCGAGGAAGCUCCGGUUAACGACGUGCCAGCAGCCGCGGUAAUACGGAGGGCGCGAGCGUUGUCCGGAAUUACUGGGUGAAAGGGGAGCGUAGGCGGGGAUGCAAGUUGGGUGUAAAAUCUACGGGCUAAACUGGUAGUCGCACUCAAAACUGCAGCUCUUGAGUGAAGUAGAGGCAGGCGGAAUUCCUAGUGUAGCGGUGAAAUGCGUAGAUAUUAGGAAGAACACCGGUUGCGAAGGCAGCCUGCUGGGCUUCUACUGACGCUGAGGCUCGAAAGUGUGGGUAGCAAACAGGAUUAGAUACCCGUGUAGUC